CUGUGUGACUAACAAGCCCCAAAUCUCAGGAACUGCAACACAGAGGUUCACUGUUCCUGAUCACAGGUCUGCAGAUGGGCUGUCUCUGAUCCACACCACGGCCUCCCUUUCUGGCUAGAGUACAAUGGCAAGGUCUCAGCUCACUGCAACCUCCACCUCCCAGGUUCAAGCGAUUCUCCUGCCUCAGCCUCCCAAGUAGCUGGGAUUACAGGCACAUGCCACCACACUCAGGGCUCCCAGGCUGAAGGUCCUGAUGCUUCAGCAUAAGCCAAAGCAUUCCCACCUGAGAGAGACCAGGAAGGAAGGACAAAACGAGGACCCAUGGAGGACACCAGGCAGUGUGGCCCCUGCACCCACCCCACUAGCUGGACAGGCUACUCAGCAUUGGUGACCCCUGCCUGCCUCCAGGUCCCUUUCCAUUCCUGGUGACCCCAGGCAGAGCCCCC